rnacentral:rRNA from 1 species
GACGAACGCUGGCGGCGUGCUUAACACAUGCAAGUCGAACGGUAAGGCUCCUUCGGGAGUACACGAGUGGCGAACGGGUGAGUAACACGUGAGCAACCUGCCCUUGACUUUGGGAUACCAGCUGGAAACAGCUGCUAAUACCGGAUACGACCUCUUGACGCAUGUUUGGGGGUGGAAAGCUCCGGCGGUCAGGGAUGGGCUCGCGGCCUAUCAGCUUGUUGGUGAGGUAAUGGCUCACCAAGGCUUCGACGGGUAGCCGGCCUGAGAGGGCGACCGGCCACACUGGGACUGAGAUACGGCCCAGACUCCUACGGGAGGCAGCAGUGGGGAAUAUUGCACAAUGGGCGCAAGCCUGAUGCAGCAACGCCGCGUGCGGGAUGACGGCCUUCGGGUUGUAAACCGCUUUCAGUAGGGACGAAGCUAACGUGACGGUACCUACAGAAGAAGGACCGGCUAACUACGUGCCAGCAGCAGCCGCAGUAA